rnacentral:rRNA from 1 species
UACGAAGGGGGCUAGCGUUGCUCGGAAUUACUGGGCGUAAAGCGCACGUAGGCGGAUCUUUAAGUCAGGGGUGAAAUCCUGGAGCUCAACUCCAGAACUGCCUUUGAUACUGAGGACCUUGAGUUCGGGAGAGGUGGAGUGACUGCGAGUGAGAGGUGAAAUUCGUAGAUAUUCGCAAGAACACCAGUGGCGAAGGCGGCUCACUGGCCCGAUACUGACGCUGAGGUGCGAAAGCGUGGGGAGCAAACAGG